rnacentral:rRNA from 1 species
AACGAACGCUGGCGGCGUGCUUAACACAUGCAAGUCGAACGCGAAAGGGACUUCGGUCCCGAGUAGAGUGGCGCACGGGUGAGUAACGCGUAAGUAAUCUACCCCUGUAUCUGGAAUAACCCACCGAAAGGUGAGCUAAUACCGGAUACGUUUAUCUUGAUGCGAAUGAUGAUAAAGAAAGGUGGCCUCUUCAUGAAAGCUACUGUACAGGGAUGAGCUUGCGUACCAUUAGCUAGUUGGUAGGGUAAAGGCCUACCAAGGCGACGAUGGUUAGCGGGUCUGAGAGGAUGAUCCGCCACACUGGAACUGGAACACGGACCAGACUCCUACGGGAGGCAGCAGUGAGGAAUAUUGCGCAAUGGGGGCAACCCUGACGCAGCGACGCCGCGUGGAUGAUGAAGGCCCUUGGGUCGUAAAAUCCUGUCAGAUGGAAAGAAAUGUAUAGCAGCUAACAUCUGUUAUAUUUGACGGUACCAUCAAAGGAAGCACCGGCUAACUCCGUGCCAGCCGCCGCCGUAAAAC